rnacentral:misc_RNA from 1 species
GKGUUCCCAGUAGCCUGACGUGCAAUAAAAAUGUCCCGUUGCCUCUUGGUGGUGAUUAUAAUGAAGUGUGCGGUCUUUUGGCCAGCGACAGUCCGCUCCUAAAUUGCCCGUUUUGCGUUUUGGCUUGCCCGCUGGYGYUUGCCGUAUACAAAAGUGGUUGAUGUGCCAUCUUGGCCUCUCCACAGUUGCCAUCGCUUAGAUCUCAUGGUGUGCCCCSAAAAUGUCCCUCCAUAUCUUAUGCGAUGCAUUUGUGAUGGUUCUUGUGCAUCGGAGCUUGCAUCGUCCCAAACAUUCGUGCCUCGCGGAGCUCUUUAUUCCCGUUUAAUGCUUGAUCCUUUUGGCUGCUGCUCAUCAUCGAUGCUUGGCAUCUGGUCGAUGCGGCGCUGUCAUUGGGGCUUGCUUAUUUGGGUUGAUUUUGAGACCGUUUGCGGCAUAUGAGUUGCAUUCAACAAUGCUCACUUUGAUCGGUGUAACCUCCAGUGUUGCUGAUCAUUGUUAAAAGCAUUCGUUUCAUUUUGUUGGCCACAAAUCACUUUGGAUGUGGUUGAUCUAUACGUCAUGUUGCUUGCAUUUUGAUCCCAUUAACGAUAUUGGCAUUGGGAUUUGAAGAAAGACUGAUCUYUGCCUCUGCUUUCAAUGCGAAAAGAGGCAAUGGUUUGCCAUUGCAGUUAUUAUUUGAUCAGCUACGGGGAGAGACGUAUGUGCCCAAAAUAACAUCAAGUCUGCUGCUUGCUGAUCAAUAACUMUGCAUGGUGUUGCUAUAKGGGGCGGCGAACUAAAARCAUAUCUCGGUGAGCCAUGGUCACCUUGCGAAUGUGAGUUACUUUUGGACGCAAUCUUGCCUCCUAACCUCGUGCAACCAUGAUUCCUCCCUUCCUUCCACCUGCUUGAUGGUGUAUGGCUGGGCUGGUUUCAUGUUGUGUUGAGGUUGUGCUAC